CAUAGCGACUAUCGUGGCAUAUCAAUAAGCGGAGGAAAAGAAACUAACAAGGAUUCCCUUAGUAACGGCGAGUGAAGCGGGAAGAGCUCAAAUUGAAAUCUUCAAGGUUCUACCUUGACGAAUUGUAGUUUAAAGAAGUGUUUUCUGUUGGAGUUUUGGUAAAAGUUCUUUGGAAUAGGACAUCAUAGAGGGUGAGAAUCCCGUAUUUGACCAUUACUUUCCAGCUGUGUGAUACACUUUCAAAGAGUCGGAUUGUUUGGGAAUGCAGUCCAAAAUGGGUGGUAAAUUUCAUCUAAAGCUAAAUAUUGGCGAGAGACCGAUAGCGAACAAGUACCGUGAGGGAAAGAUGAAAAGAACUUUGAAAAGAGAGUUAAACAGUACGUGAAAUUGUCAAAAGGGAAGCGUUUGACACCAGUGUUGUUUAGUUGAAAAUCAAUUCAAUAAUUUUUGAUUUUAAGUAGUAUUGACUUCAUCAGCUUGCUGCUUUCUUUUCAGGAAUUAUUGAAUGCACUUUUCAGUUAACAAGUCAACAUCAAUUUCUUUUGUUGUAAAAGGGUAAGAGGAAGGUGGCUUACGCUUCGGCGUAAGUGUUUAUAGCCUUUUACCUCUGCAAUCGGAGAGAUUGAGGACAGCAGCGUAGACUCUUCGGGGUUAGAUACACUUGUGCUAAGCUAUAGCCUUGUAUAGACAACUUGUUGACUAUGCUCAGUCAUGUAGCUUACUCGCUUGUGCUAUUUUACCUACGCUUAGGAUGUUGACGAGACUGUCGAUCUC
rnacentral:rRNA from 1 species